GAAAUGCGAUAAUUAAUGUGAAUUGCAGAAUUCAGUGAAUCAUCGAGUCUUUGAACGCACAUUGCGCCCCCUGGUAUUCCGGGGGACAUGCCUGUCCGAGCGUCAUUGCUGCCCUCAAGCACGGCUUGUGUGUUUGGCUUCCGUCCCUGGCAACGGGGACGGGCCCAAAAGGCAGUGGCGGCACCAUGUCUGGUCCUCGAGCGUAUGGGGCUUUGUCACCCGCUCCCGUAGGUCCAGCUGGCAGCUAGCCUCGCAACCAAUCUUUUUAACCAGGUUGACCUCGGAUCAGGUAGGGAUACCCGCUGAACUUAAGC
rnacentral:misc_RNA from 1 species